UCCUCUUGUCAAAAGUAUCUAUUCACCUCUUAGGCAGUGCUGGAAGCUGCUUUUGUUUAAUAAAGGGUUGAUUAAUGAAUAGAGCAAAAGGAGGAAGAUAGGAAGAUAGAGACUGAGAGAAAGAAAGAGAAACUCUCCAGAGACGGAGCCAUCCCAACCCUUUGCAUUCACACGGAUGCUUGAGGUCCCUGUCUGAUUUUCCCAUUUCUUUUUUUCCCCCUGACAGGAGUAGGAACAGCUCAACAUUGCAUCAUUCAGCCACACCUGAGGCUUUUUUUCUUUUCCAAAAAGCAUCAAAGGAACCUGGAUUUUGAGCAUUUUUUUUUUUAAUCAGAGGAAAAUGUGAACGAAGCUUUUUUGAGGGCCAGUCUUCUGUAUCCAUUCAAAUUGUCUUUUACCCAAUAGAUCAAAGUAAAAUCUGAUUUCUUAUGAUGUUUUUUUUUGUUUGGUCUUACGCGGAUGGGAGAAUUGCUGUACUCCAAGAAUAACUUCAGCAGUGACUUUUCAGGCCCUUUCCUCACAGCUUGUUGUGUGCCGGCGCCCAAGGUGACUAGACAGGUGUAUCCCGUGUGGACUUACUCCAGCGCCUGGUUCUCGUCAUCCCAGUCCUCCCGGCGACAGACUUCCUCAGGUGCAAGCCUGUAAUCAUCCUCCAGGGGCUCGGCCACGUCGCAGCGCCUCUCUGCUGAUUCUACUUGGCUCAGAGGUUCGCUCGGCUCAGUUGGCCUUCUUAAGCUUCAGCGUCGCCAUGGCAGCAGAUGUGUCCUAUUUCUCCUACAGUUCCAGUGUGGCGCAGCCUGGUCUCUACCAGAGAGUGACCGGUUGUGACGAAGGCGCGGCGCUGCUUGGCCACGCUACGGGCGCUCUGCUGGGUCAGCUGCUUGUAUCUGUGGGGGGGGGUUACAGGGGAUGUCCAACUCCUCUGGGGUUACAUGCAGCCCCAUAACUUCACGGCCUGCAAGGGAGGGGUGGACGGCCUCAGCACCCUGUCAGGUAACUAACGUACCGCUAUAAUCACUACUUUAACCCCCAUCAUCUUGGAAAUGCAUUGGUAACAACAAUCCAAUAACAACCAACUAACAAUUAACAACUAACUACGAAUAACUGCCUUGAAUUGUUGCCUGGAAACUUGAUAGCAGUGACAAUCAAAUCCUUGCAAAUCACAUAGCGCGGCACAAACUGUAGCUCCAUGAAUCCACGUCUUCAAAAUAGUUCCCUUUUUGAGCGGUUUAAGCCGAUGAGACUUAAUUCAUUCAUCAUUGAGCUUGAGGUGCUGGUUGGUGGUUUCGGUUUACCAAACAUUUUCAGAAUGUUAAAUAUUUCCUUUGCAGCAGAAUGAGCAAACGCACAGAAGGAAAACAAAAUCCCUUUCUAUUAUCAGUAUUCCCAACCCCCAAAGUACAGCAAACAAUAACAGCAACAUUAAUAAGACUGUUUAAUUGCCUGCUCUGAUCCUCAUAUGGGUACAGCAGCUGCUGCUAUCCAGCCAGUACACUUUUAUUGAUUAUAGAACUGAUACAAUCCUGUAUUCCCCAGAAGCCAAAGGCAAUUACUCUGUGUAAACCGCAUCCAGCUGUAUGCAUUUCACUUGUAAAUGGUUUUGCCCGACAUGCAGUCAAGCUGUAGGGCCCAAUGUCUGAUAUUUCCCCAAAGAUUGCUGCUCUACUCUCUUCUGUUCCACACCGAGGAAAACGUCCCUCAGGAAAAAGACUUUGUGGAAACAGAAUAUGAAUAUGGAUUACUGGCAUGAUAAAAUAUGGCAGAAAAGCAACAUAAUUUAGUAUUUUAAUGUUCAGUGUAUUAAUAACUAUGUCCCCAAGCAUGAAAACAACAUUUUCUUGCAACUCAUUAGGAUUAAGAUAACCAAAUGUGUAUGCAGAACAAACAGAGUUAUGUUCAGUAAUGUGUUUUUGUACAGUCUGGUUUUCAAAAGGAAAAAGUUUUGCAGGCAUCCAUAUAUUUUUAUCUGAAUCCCCAAAACAGUAUUUACACAUCAUUUUCACUUCAAAUAGAUAUGUUUUAUGCAAAAGUGUGAAAUUAUAUUACUACUAUAAAAAAACUGAGAAGAACAAAUAAUUCUGAACCAAUCCAAAAAUGAUUUAAUGUAUUGGGGAAAUGGUGUCAUCGUAGCUUUCCCUCAAAUGGCAUAAUGUAAGAAACGUACCUUUCAAGAGUCGGCGUCACACAUCAUAUUGUUCAUGCUCACAUUUAGUAGCCGUCCUUGCACCACUUACUGCCACUAUCAGGACAUCAUUUACCACAUUGCUAUCAGACGCUUAUCAUAAUGAUCACAAAAUGACCUACAAUGCAGGCUAGAUAACAUCUUAUAACACUGUCACCUUAACUUUUUCAAUUUAAUAUUGUAUUCAUGGAGGCCCCAUAUUUUAAAAGAAAGACUGUCGUCUUUUCUUCAAUUUGAAAAUUAUUUUUUCUUAAGUGAAAUUUUAGUUAAUAAUUAAGCUCGCAGAUUCAUAUUUCACUCCCCCAUUUAUAUAUUACACACAGUGUGAGGUGUGAUCUUAUCAGCAUGAAAAACCAAACACAGCACAAAGGCACACAUAUUGCCCGGUGGUUCAUAAAGCAGAGUGACCUGCAUGUGGCUUCUGUUGAACCGUCAUAAUUAUGGCGAAACGACUGAUAGCAUCAAGGUUAACUCAGUUUGGGCAUAAAUAUCUCACAUUAUAAACAGAGACUGUUGCACAAACUGUGGGCAUGAUGUCGGAUAAUGGCGUUCUAGCAUGAUAUUUAUGGGAAAAUGUGUUAUUUUGAAACUUGAUCCAUACUACAGAUUACAAAGGCAGGAUGUGUCAAAUUCUAACUAUUCUUCUUUUAGACAAAUUACCAAAAUGGCUUAUCAGUGCUGUAUGGAUGGUCAUUCAGUCUGCUCACAUCUUCAAGGCAGACCAAACAUCUCAAUAUGUUAUAUUUAAUGUUGCUGUGUGAGUUGGUGGAGAUAUCUGAGAAUGUAUCCUAAUACCUUUGGUAAGCCUUGCACAUUCAAGAUCUGUUACUUACUAUUGCUGUCUUAUAAAAAGGCUCAAGCAUGAGUCAUGCAAUUCAUCUAAUUAAUCUGAGAUUAUUUUAAACAUACUAUUGAGCCCAGCUGCAUUAUUGAUUCCUCUCUAUGAAGCUGAACAGCUGGCUCCCGCUGGCUAAGCCUCCAUCGGACACUGCUGAGGAAACUGGUCCAACUGUUCAAUCUCCAUUUGACCUCCCUCGCUAAUCAGCGCCCGGGGAUUGAUCAAGUAUACCUUAAAUACACACCAGCUUCAGUGGAGUCCACGUUGGACUAUUAGCACCUAUUGAUCAUGAAUGGAGAAGGACUCCAAUAGCGCAGAGUGAAGAGAUCCAUGGUGUUGGUUUUACCUUUUAACUCUCAGAGUUAACGAGAGUUUUUAUUUAAUCUCCAGCUGUUCAAUAUGAAAGUGAUAGUUGACGAUGUGAUGACUAUAUUGCAAGCUAAAGUGAUGAGAGAGAUGGAGAGUGUGCGGGGGGGAAACGAUUGUUCUAUAAUAAAAUGCUUCAAAGAGCCACUGGAGCCCGCGACUCUCCGUCCAUCCACAGGGAUAAAGACACACACUGCACCUGUAAGUGUGUGUCUGUGCUCCACUGCGCCACCUUGUGGUUGAAAUGAGAAAUGUCCCUUUCCAAAAUCUAUAAUGCUGUCAUCUAUAAUGUGUUUCUUGUUGCUAGAGAUUGUCAUUAUUUUAUCUAGACAAAAUGGAUUUUUUUUUUUGUUGGAAAGAACUAAACUAAAUUUCAGAGAUUCAUCAAGUAACCCAGUUGUGUUCUAUUUUAGGAGCUGCAGCCACGGUUGCUGUGGGCCGCAUGUCUCUGCAGUGGUCAGUGUGGGGGGGGAACUGGUUCUGGGAGGUUUCACAUUCCUGAUGGCCAGGACUGUAUUCCUUAUGGAUCCGACAUCUGGAUAAGAUACUUGUGCUUCUUCCUCUUCAAAACCGGCCAGGCAGCUUUCCACCAUCUGCACGUGAGAUACAUGUACAGGUGCUGCUGAAUAUGAAUAUGACAGCAGAGAGAUGGAUGACAGCAGACAGAUGGAUUGUGUUGUCUAGUUUUGCUGCACGCUAUAAUGGUUCUGUGGCUAGUGGAGAGUAUUCUAACCCUCGAAAUGCAUCAGCCUAACUGAAAUAAUGCUGUUAUUUCAAAAGUUAAUAUAAAAUCGCUUUGUGCAGGUUGGCGCACAUUUUAUUUCUAGUUUCACAAGUAAUUUUAGAUCAGGCUGUGCUAACAUUUUCACCCUGAGCACAACAUGGGACGAUUGCCACUCAAAACAAAAGAUAAAAGCACUAUGGUGGUUUUCAACUUGUGACAUUUCCCUUCAUUUUUAUCUUUAUGACACUCGCAUCUAACUAGUCAAAUAAUGUUUCAUCAAAAGGGUGAUAGUCAACCAAACUGAAUAUAAAAAAAAGAUUGUAUAAUCUCUGUUGCGUGUAAGAAUAAUAAUACGGACUAAUUAUAAUUUAAUAUUUAGCGAAAGUGUCUUUGGGCAGUGUGCAUUGGAAUUUGAUACAUAUAACAGUGUCUUCGUAAGGUGAAUCCUAGUGCCGAUGGUUUAUUAAUGCUUAAUCAAGCUUUUUACUUAUAAUCUACCUUUCAAAAUAUCUCAACAUCUAAUAAGCAAUGGUCGUUCAUGGUUCCAGACGAUGUACCCUGAUGUCUUUGGUGGUGCACUAACUAUUCCUCUGAUGGCUUACUGUGCUUGAAACUUGUGGUUUUGAGUGAAAUGUCCCUUUUGGAAUAAUAGACUGGAAAUGGACGCAAUCAGGGUCUGUCAAUCAAGUUUAAUUUGAAUUUGCUGAAACGUUGCCUGUGACUAAAAUGAUGCAAAACAAUUAUUUCCAUCUCUGUAGCUCUCAGCUGUACUAAAUUGUAAUAAAUUAGUCAAAUCCAGCACACUUAAAACCCUCAAAUAGGAUGGUGAACAUGCUUAAUACAAACUGCAUGUUAACAUUGUGAUUUAAGAUAAUUGCAUGUUGACUUUUGUAUUUAGCUCAUAUCACCAAUGUUAGAUUUAUUUUUCAAUACGAGAUUAUUCUAUAUUCGAGGUCCAGUUGAUACCCCUGUAAGUUUCUACGUCAAUUAAAGUAGUACCAGAACUAUCAUGUUUUUCCUAGUUUUCAGAGAGGCUGAACAGGGAGUGCUAUGCGUUAGUGCAUGAACGGCUUUGUGGGCACAAUCCUCCAAAGCGUAUCUACAGCUCACCAUCACCUUGCAGGUACUGCAGUACUCACAGAUCACACUUUGAGCUCUGGAGACAAUUUAUACUCAUUAAACACAUUGAAAAUAGCAUAUCUACUCGUGCAAACUUAAUGAUUGAAAUAUGGAGACCUUCUAGUUGAGCUUGAAUAAAUGACAUAAAACAAUUACGAGUGCUGAUUACAUGCCCUCAGAAAUAAAUGAUCCGAUUUGAAGGGUCUUUAAUGAACGCACAGAGGGAGAAGGAUCAAAAGAGAAGAGAAUUAAUUUGUUAUUUGAUUUACAGUCAUCUUCCGCACUUCAAGUGAACCUCUCAUGUCUUUUCAGUUCCUCAUCUACGCCUCGUUCUUUUUGUUGCCAUUUCCCUGCUGUUCACAGUCAGAGGUGUGUGUACGGUCCUCCACGUGAAGCGUCCUGCUGGAGGCGACCAGACAGAGGGACACCAACCUGCCAGAGGGCUCCCGGCUGUGAAGACCAAGUUGUUAUUUUCAUUUAUUAAAAAUAGUCAUGAUUUAUGACAGCAGCUACAUAAACAGAAGUUUGGAGAUCCUUACUUGCAUGUACGUCGAGCUAUUUGUUGCGGUGGAGUCAUCAGUCCGUCAGCAUUAGGAAGACAUUUAUUGCUUCUACAGAUGCUGUUAAAGAAAUUGUUAAAGUGCAAUCCUUAAAUGUUGCCACCAGAGGACACUACAUGCAAAAUGUAAAACAAGAAACACCACGACAUUGCAGGUCUGUGUGGGUUUAAUCUUAACACAUAGAUUUGUUAAAACUGCACACAUAUUUUUAAAGUAAAUAUAUCUAAUGCCAGAAUAUGUGAACAUCCAAAGUUAAGAAUCCAGUUGACAUGAUGAAAUCUUUAUUCUUUUUUUUAUUUCUUUUGUAUGUUCUUGUAAAACUAUGUGUAAAUGUCUCUAAUAAGCCACCACCAUCAGUCCAGAGCGCAUCGUUCACUAUUUACUCCUCUAAAUGCCCUAAAGUUUACCGUUGAUGUUUUGACACUGACAACAUGAGUUCAAUGUGGUGAAUGAGAAGCACUACAAGGGGCAUCAGGAAGAAUAUCUUCGAGCAACACGUACUGUAGUUGCCAGGUAACAGACCCACUUAGUUUUUAAGGCUUGGCUUUGUUCAAACAGGUCUAGAGUCUGCUCCAUACGGCUGAUGUAUUUGUAUGUGUAUGACCGCUUUUAUUAUACAUAUGAAGCAAAGUGCUUGCAUUAAUGUCUAUUUCCAGGGAGUAGAGGUAAAUCAUGUGCCGUAAUCAUCAUACUACUUGGAAAAGCAACCUUGUUAUAAUCAGUUCAGUGCUGUGAUUCUCAGCAAGUGGUACGUAAAUCGGAUGCUGUAGCUCUGCAUGUUUAUGUUCAUGAUAUUAGCCAAAUCAACACUUUCUGUGCUCAUUCAUGGGUGACACCACAAACCAGUCAGGCUGACUGAAAAAAAUGGAAAUUACCCCCCUUUCUGUGGUUUGAUGAUAAAUGUGCAGUCACGUCUGACCUAUAAUUCAUAAUUAAAACAGUAAAUAAUUAAGAUCGCAAGGUGGAUACCAGGGGCGGCGAAUGGAUGAAACGAGCUGGCACGUUGCAUGCGUGUCCACUCAUCAUUAUUAAUAUAUUGAUAAGUCCUUUGGUUUUCCUAGGGAUGAAUAUUUAAAACACCUACAUGCAACAAUAUCAUGUUUACCUUCCAAAUUACGUAAUGAGUCAUGAAUGUAUCAGUCAACAUCAAACAGAAAAUGUAUAUUUCUUAUUUCUUUGUUGGUUAAAACGGAGGAGUGAUCUAGUCCAACAGCAAAUGAUGGUGUUAAAAUGUAUGCAUUCAUGUGUGAGCUUGAGCCUCAUGCAAAAUGUAUGGUUUUGUUCUUUUUUUCUAUGGGUGAAAGAUAAUCCUGGUAAUUAUUUCUAGUGGCAGUUUUGGACAUUUCAGCAAUUAUGUGUCACUUCCCGCCCUUUAACAUUAUUUUGUCUUUUAAAAUGAAGUUAGCUUUCAGCAUCAUCAGUACCUCGGCUCAAUCGUUGGUUUGGAUCCGCCCUCAUGUGCCUGAGCAACGCCCCGUUUCAUAACUUUUGAACCAUGUCUCAGAACACUUGUGAGAGGCCAGGCCACAGAGGUCAAGUGGUUGUGAUGUUGUACAAGUUUGUAGGGAAGUGCGUAGACACGUGGCCGCACAACAAUGCCAGCUGCAUGGCUCUAUGGAUGCAAAUGUAGUGUUUGGUUUACACUAAAACGUCUCAGCAGCCGCCAGCUGGAUUGCAAAUGACAUUUUGUAGAGACGUUUAUGUUUCCAUAAUGUCACGACCUGGCUCUGACAGCCAUGACCCAACGAGGGAGAGGCAGACACUGCACAUGUUUAUUCACAUGCAGGAUGAUCCACACGCGGUUGCGACGAGGCACAUGGUGAUCAACCGUAAAGUUGCCAGGAAGGCGGAGCUUUAAACUGGAGCACCGAGCUCAGCUGUCUCCAGUUAGCACUCUCCGGGAACCUGCUAUUAAAAAGGGACAUACACAAACACACAAACGAUACGGCAGGGAACCAUCACAAUAAAGGUGGAUUGUAAUCACACUGCUGAUCCCGUUACCGUCUCAUCUACAGCUGCUUUAAGGUCAAAAUCCAGCUGCACUUUGUGUCCAGUGCUAAUUAGCAAGCGGUAAACCAGGAUGGGGGAAGUCAUACAUAUUAAACGUAUUUAUCGUCAGCGUGUCACUGAGCAUAGAGAGUCUUGUUUAAAUUAACUUCAGCUGUAAAGGUUUUCCUUCAAGAUAUGUCCCAUUAACAAGGAUUAACAAAGAGCAGACAUGUUGACCCAUCAGAGUGUAAAAAGUUCAACGGUUAAUAAAAACAAUAACAAUAGGUUUGUGUUUUACAUAAAUGUCACAGUGAGCCAUGGCAGCGUGACACCGAGUCGACAUUCCCACAACUGAAUCCAAAAGGAUGUUCAGUCAUCAUUAACUUCAUUAUUCACACUUGUGCUUUUCCGGCUGUGACAGGUCACAAUGUCCCCUCUUGUGGUAAUAUGCCUCCCUGAGAGAAACAGUUCCUGGAACUGAUUUGAAGUGGAGUUGAAAAAAAAAAAAACCCUGCUUAAUUCAGGUUUUCACGUUGUGGUAAUGGGCAUAGUUGGUGCCUGGCUGCAAGGUCGGAGCGGGGCCAUGAUGAGCUUAAUUGGCACAGCUUGUUACCUAAUCACGCUUCAUCCUGAGAGAGAGCGAGACAGCUUUUAUGUUAUGUUAAAUUCAAUAAAUACAAAAUUUCCCCUGCUUGAAAAAA